GACGAACGCUGGCGGCGUGCCUAAUACAUGCAAGUAGAACGCAGUUGCGCACGGGGGAGUAACGCGUAGAUAACUGCCUGGUAGCGGGGGGUAACUAUUGGAAAAGAUAGCUAAUACCGCACACUACCUGAUGGACCUGCGUUGUAUUAGCUAGUUGGUGGGGUAACGGCUCACCAAGGCAACGAUACAUAGCCGACCUGAGAGGGUGAGCGGCCACACUGGGACUGAGACACGGCCCAGACUCCUACGGGAGGCAGCAGUAGGGAAUCUUCGGCAAUGGACGGAAGUCUGACCGAGCAACGCCGCGUGAGUGAAGAAGGUUUUCGGAUCGUAAAGCUCUGUUGUAAGAGAAGCGGUAUCUUACCAGAAAGGGACGGCUAACUACGUGCCAGCAGCCGCGGUAAUAC
rnacentral:rRNA from 1 species